rnacentral:rRNA from 1 species
GUGAGGAAUUUUGCGCAAUGGGGGAAACCCUGACGCAGCAACGCCGCGUGGGUGAAGAAGGCCUUCGGGUCGUAAAGCCCUGUCAGGUGGGAAGAAUGUCCCAGGGGUGAAUAGUCUUUGGGAGUGACGGUACCACCAGAGGAAGCACCGGCUAACUCCGUGCCAGCAGCCGCGGUAAUACGGAGGGUGCGAGCGUUGUUCGGAAUCAUUGGGCGUAAAGGGCGUGCAGGCGGCUGGGUAAGUCUGAUGUGAAAGCCCGGGGCUCAACCCCGGAAGUGCAUUGGAAACUGCUCAGCUUGAGUACCGGAGAGGAUGGGGGAAUUCCCGGUGUAGAGGUGAAAUUCGUAGAGAUCGGGAGGAAUACCAGUGGCGAAGGCGCCCAUCUGGACGGAUACUGACGCUGAGACGCGAAAGCGUGGGGAGCAAACAGGAUUAGAUACCCGGGUAGUCC